rnacentral:rRNA from 1 species
AUUGAACGCUGGCGGCAGGCUUAACACAUGCAAGUCGAGCGAGCGGCGGACGGGUGAGUAAUGUAUGGGGACUGCCCGAUAGAGGGGGAUAACUACUGGAAACGGUGGCUAAUACCGCAUUCUAUCGGUUUACCUAUAUGGGCUUAGCUUGUGGGUGGGGUAAAGGCUCACCUAGGCGACGCUCGCUAGCUGGUCUGAGAGGAUGAUGAGCAACACUGGUACUGGGACACGGCCCAGACUCCUACGGAGGAAGCAGUGGGGAAUGUUGCACAAUGGGCGCAAGCCUAGAGCAGCCAUGCCGCGUGUAUGAAGAAGGCCUUAGGGUUGUAAAGUACUUUCAGCGGGGAGGCGUUACCCGCAGAAGAAGCACCGGCUAACUCCGUGCCAGCAGCCGCGGUAAUUC